CCUAAUAUUCCAAAUAUAUCUCACACGACAACUUAUUGACAACUAGUGAUUAACGAACAGAUACACAUAAUAAAUGCCUCCAAAAUUAAAUAAAAUUACUAACAACUUUCACUGUAUCCACUCCUUAAUUAUUGGUGAUUUUUUUUUUUUUUUUGUGGUCAAAGGUUUGAGCAAGCUCAAUCCUCAGACUUUGCAAUCAUAGACCAAUGUUUACAAAGUGUAGAAUUUGAGAGACUAUCUCAAAAUACUAAUGUUGUUCUAUAAGAGCUUAAGAGCCCUUUAAAAGCCACGAAUUACUCGGAAUCCACUGCAAGCAGCUCAUAGAUCACAUCCUUGAAUGCAAUGACGACCUCAAAAUACAUGAUUACUCUGUUUCUGAGAUGGCUGCCAACUCUUGAUGUAGACGUCGCCCUGCUAUACUUACCGUCUUUCUCUUUGAAGCUGUGGAGCUAAGAGGAUUAGGAGGUUUUGUCAAGUUGUCUCCUUCACCUUCCAGCAUCUGGACAACAAUUUUCAUGGAAGGACGGUCCACUGGGUUCCACUGGAUGCACCACAGUCCCACAAUGGCUAGCUUCUUCGCAAUUUCAGCUUCCCCUUCUUCCUCGAUGUGGAACCGCAGGUCUUCUCCUUCUUCUAAGAGAUUAUAAAUCCAUUCUGGGAAGUAUACUUGAUCACCAUUUUCUGCUGUAUCAUCAACAUUUUUCCUUCCACCAACCAUUUCUAACACCAACAUUCCAAAACUGUACACGUCUGCCUUGUAGGAGACAUUCCCAAAGUUUCUUGAGAACACUUCAGGUGCUAUGUAGCCUACGGUUCCCCUAACUCUUGUCAUGGAAACAACACUUUUAUACUUGGAACACAACUUAGCCAGACCGAAAUCUGCAAUCUUGGGAUUGAAGUCAUUGUCCAGCAGGAUAUUAUGCGGUUUGAUAUCAAAGUGGAGGAUUGUUUGGUCACAGCCCUGGUGAAGAUAUUCAAUCCCUUUGGCUACUCCGAGGGCAAUAUGAUGCAGUCUUUCCCAGCCAAGGAAAGCAUUCCUUGCGUUUGCUGAAGAUAUGAACUUCUGCAGCGAAUUGUUCGGCAAGUACUCGUAAACUAGAGCUCGCCUAAAUCCAUCAGCACAGAAGCCAAUCAAGCGGACUACAUUGACAUGGUGAAUCCUAGCCAUUGUUUCCAUCUCGUUGACGAAUUCCUCUCCUUUUUCUGAUGAAUUGCUUAGAACCUUAACAGCCACCGGAAUAUCACUGGUUAGCUUUCCUUUGAACACAGUUCCAUAAGCUCCUUGCCCCAAUUCAUCCCUGAAUUGAUUUGUCAUCUUUUUGAGAUCAGCAUGGGAGUAUCUUGUGGGGUUCAUAGCUCUGUAAUCAUCCAGAAACCUUUCAACCUUGGCCUGAUAUUCUUCUUCUGAUUUUCUGAAGCUAUAGAUUUGGUAGACUGCAAUCACCAAAACCCCGAAAAGGAUGGAUCCUGUGGUUACGCCUGCAUAUAUAAACAAGCCAUUUGAGUCAAGAGACAUGUUCUUUUUUGAAAGCAAUGUGUUGGAGCAAAUUUGAGAACAACUAACCUAAAGUCAGUCGCUUUUUCCAUGCACCUGUAGAAGAUAAGAACCCUUGUUAAGCUCUAAUUUUCUGAAAGUUUCUAAAGUCAUGAUAAUAUCCUCUAUUUGUAGAAUCAAGAUCGCUAAAUGCACAGGGAAACCAUAUGUCAGUCAACUCACUGGUAGAUAGGACUUAGGUGUUCAAGGACACUUGCAAUACAUUAAUCAAAGUGAGAUGUAGACUUAGUGAAGCAAGGAAUCAUAGAAAAUCAAGAUGCCAUGAACACAGAACAAUGAAAAGAAGACUUUAAGCUAAAGAUACCUUUUUCUGGUCUGGGCAAGCCAUAGCAUUCAGUAUCAAGCUCAGUGCUGCUAUUUUCCCUCAAUCCACAUAGUUUUCCUGUUGCUUCACAAGAUCCACAAUUGGGAUUGGACCAGGAGAGACGAAUAUCAUGUGGAACAGGUAGGUCGUACAUCUUGGUACAAGAUAAUAAUAACUCGCUGUCAUCAAUAGAUUGUUCUGAAUCAACGGCAAGAACGUCAUAGUGGAGAGUACUUAUUAGACAAGCGAUCCUAGACAGAUAUCUUGCUUUAUUUAAAGAACAAUUGAAGGUGGUAAAAUUGACCUUGGACAUCUUAAACUGUAUGUGAAACACAGACGAAUUGAAGUUGGAGUGUUGGCUUAGAAGGCAAGCUUGGGGAUCUCUUGCAUAAAUAACUUGAUUUUUGUAGUCAAUCUUUUCUAUGUGGAGCUUCACUGCAGCUGGCAGCUCGAGCACUAUAUCGCCCAUCUCAUUACAAGACAGAUCAAAACCAGAAUAGCCACACUGUUCUGGCUGCCUAUCCUUGAUCCAGAAUGGAAAUCGGAUGUCGUGGUUCCCACAAGAUCCUGUGCAAUUUAGACUCACUCCAAGUUCUGCAAUGAACAUGAAAUAGAACAAGCAUAUAGCCUUUUUUGUUGAACCUCUCAUCAUUGCCUCCUAUGGUGAUAGAGUUUCGACCUAACAGUAUCUAGAUAUUGCAGAAACAACAGUAAACUCAGAUCGGAGCAGCAAUGGUAACUCUGAUACCUUCUUUUUAUGACACCUGAAGGGUAACUCUGAUACCUUCGUUUUAAUACCUUCGUUUUACUUGCCUAGAUUAAGUACUCAGAAUUGACCUCUCUUGCGUUCAAUGUAGUUCCAUGUCCACAAGGAUUAUUGCACCCUCACUUUCACAAAUUAUUGCCAAGAAGGUUAUCAUGUUAUCUAUUAUAUGUUGACGUUUGUGGUGUUGAGAGUUGAUGGAUUUGUGGUUUACAUCAAAGUAAUCUUUGAUAUUUCAAAGGAUGACUUGGUAAGUUUAAUAUACUGAAGAAACUCUUGCAUUGAAAAUCUAGCUUUAUGUGGUGAGGUAUCUAUAUAUGAUUUAUAUUAUUUUUUAAUAUAUAUGUUAAAUUAGAAGUCUUUUGGACUUAAAACUUGUAAAGACUCGCACUACCUUGUACUUAAUUUUUAUUAAAUAAAUAGGAAUGGUGAGAUUCAAAUUAUUGUUAAGUUUAUCAUAUUGUCUAUAUGUUGAUGCUUGUGGUGUUGAGAGUUGAUGGAUUUGUGUUUGGUCACAACCCUGGUGAAGAUAUUCAAUCCCUUUGGCUACUCCGAGGGCAAUAUGAUGCAGCCUUUCCCAGCCAAGGAAAACAUUCUUGGCGUUUGCUGAAGAUAUGAACUUCUGCAGCGAAUCGUUUGGCAAGUACUCGUAAACCAGAGCUCGUCUAAAUCCAUCAGCACAGAAGCCAAUCAAGCGGACUACAUUGACAUGGUGAAUCCUAGCCAUUGUUUUCAACUCGGCAAAGUAAUCCUAUCGCCUAACGGAACCCAUGUUUAGUAUUGUCUAGAUGUUGACACUUGUGGUGUUGGGAGUUGAUGAAUUUGUGGUUUAUAUCAAAGUAUUCUUUGCUUCAUUAUUUUUACUUGGACAUUUCAAAGGAUGACUUAGUCAUUUUAAUACGCUAAUGAAACAUUCUCAUUGAAAAACUGGCCUUUAGGUUUUAUCUUCUUCCAUGUUUCUCUUUCUAUGGUAAAAAAAACUGUUUAAUUUAAAAGGUUAAAUUGUUAUAUAAAUUUUUAAUAUAUAAUUUGUAUUAUUUUUUAAUAUAUAUGUGAAAGAUUUUUCAGCUUAAAAUUUAAAUAGAUUUACACUACUUUAUAUUUAAUUUUUAUUAAAUAAAUAGGAAUGACGAGAUUUAAAUUUAUAACCCUUUAUCAUCAAGAAUUUGAUACCAUAUCAAAAACUCAACUCAACUACAAAAUUUAAACUGAUAGGUUAAAUUAUAAAAUAUAAUUUAUAUUAUUAUUUAAUAUUACUGCUCUAACUGUUGUUUUUAAAGACUUGAUGGAUUGUUUAUGGACUACACCCUCUUUCUCCACCCAUGGCUAGGCUCCUCUUUGCUUGCUACCUUGCCUUACUGCUCCCUCUGCUAGCCCCCCAAACCUGCAACUGCGAGGAUACCACUCUCUGUGCCCCUUCUUCAUGUGGCAAUCAUACUAUUAGCUACCCCUUUAGCCUAAACAGUAGUGAUCCAUUAAACUGUGGAAACCCUCUCUAUACCCUCCACUGCGAGAAAAACACCUCCACAUUUUUGCAUUUAGACUCACGAAAAUACUACGUGCAGGCAAUCAACUACAACAACUUGACAAUCCGAGUGGUUGAUGCUGGUGUUACACAAAAUGAUUGCUCUUCUCUUCCUCAUUUUUCUUUAGCAUUUGAUAGCCUAGGCAAUUCCAGAAGGGCAUUUAAUACAUUUACUUUAACAUUUGAUAGCUUAGAUUAUAUGAGAUUUCCAUAUACAUGGUUUCAAUACAAAAGGACAGGGCCGAAAUGGUUUCCCAAAUACAAGCCUCUCCCGUUAUCGCAGAAGAUGAUUUUUAUAAACUGUGCAAAUCCAGUGAAUUCUCCGCUGUACAUAGAAACCGGUACUUGCCUUAAUGGAGUAUUGUUUUGGAGUGUCCAAAGUUGUUUUUCAAAAUAGUUUUUUUUAGAAAAUACAUUAAAAUAAUAUUUUUUAUUUUUAAAAUAUUAUUUUUAAUAUCAAUAUAUUAAAAUAUCUAAACAUAUAAAAAAAAAUUAAUUUAAAACAAAAAAAAAUAAAAUUUUUCAAAAACAUGGCACCACAACCCAAGACACCAACUAAGAGUCCUAAAAUAGGAUCAUCAUAAAGUUUGAGAAAUACAAUUUAAGAACUAAUCUAGCAAGCAAAUACAGUUUCAUCCCCAUAUUUUCAAUCAAAUGCAUGUUAAUCUUUUAUUUGUGUAAUAAGCCGCGAAUUACUCGGAAUCCACUGUAGGCAGCAGCUCAUAGAUCACAGCCUUGAAAGCAAUGAUGACCUCAAAAUAUAUGAUUACUCUGUUUCUGAGAUGGCUGCCAGCUCUUGAUGAAGAUGCCUCCUUAGCAUACCUGUAUUCGUUCUCUUUGGAGCUGUGGAGCUAAGAGGAUUAGGAGGUGUACUUAACCUGUCUCCUUUCCCUUCCAGCAUCUGGACAACGAUUUUCAUGGAAGGACGGUCCACUGGGUUCCACUGGAUGCACCACAGUCCCACAAUGGCUAGCUUCUUCGCAAUUUCAGCAUCCCCUUCUUCCUCGAUGUGGAACCGCAGGUCUUCUCCUUCUUCUAUGAGAUUAUAAAUCCAUUCUGGGAAGUAUACUUGAUCACCAUUUUCUGCUGCUUCAUCAACAUUUUUCCUUCCACCAACCAUUUCUAACACCAACAUUCCAAAACUGUACACGUCUGCCUUGUAGGAGACAUUCCCAAAGUUUCUUGAGAACACUUCAGGUGCUAUGUAGCCGACGGUUCCCAGAGCUGUUGUCAUGGAAAUAGCACUUUUAUACUUGGAACACAACUUAGCCAGACCGAAAUCUGCAAUCUUGGGAUUGAAGUCAUUGUCCAGCAGGAUAUUAUGCGGUUUGAUGUCAAAGUGGAGGAUUGUUUGGUCACAACCCUGGUGAAGAUAUUCAAUCCCUUUGGCUACUCCGAGGGCAAUAUGAUGCAUCCUUUCCCAGCCAAGGAAAACAUUCUUGGCGUUUGCUGCAGAUAUGAACUUCUGCAGCGAAUCGUUUGGCAAAUACUCGAAAACCAGAGCUCGUCUAAAUCCAUCAGCACAGAAGCCAAUCAAGCGGACUACAUUGACAUGGUGAAUCCUAGCCAUUGUUCCCAUCUCGUUGACGAAUUCCUCUCCUUUUUCUGAUGAAUUGCUUAGAACCUUAACAGCCACCGGAAUCUCACUGGUUAGCUUUCCUUUGAACACAGUUCCAUAAGCUCCUUGCCCCAAUUCAUCCCUGAAUUGAUUUGUCAUCUUUUUGAGAUCAGCAUGGGAGUAUCUUGUGGGGUUCAUAGCUCUGUAAUCAUCCAAAAACCUUUCAACCUUGGCCUGAUAUUCCUCUUCUGAUUUUCUGAAGCUAUAGAUUUGGUAGACUGCAAUCACCAAAACCCCGAAAAGGAUGGAUCCUGUGGUUACACCUGCAUAUAUAAACAAGCCUUUUGAGUCAAGUAACUGAUCUUUUUUUUUUGGAAGCUAAGAGUUGGAGUAAAUUUGAGAAAAACUAACCUACAGUCAGUCGCUUUUUCCGUGCACCUGUAGAAGAUAAGAACCCCUGUUAAGUUCUAAUUUUCUGAAAGUUUCUAAAGUCAUGAUAAUAUCCUCUAUUUGUAGAAUCUAGAACGCUAAAUGCACAGGAAAACCACAUGUCAGUCAACUCACUAGUAGAUAGGACUUAGGUGUUCAAGGACACUUGCAAUACAUUAAUCAAAGUAGAGAUGUAGACUUAGUGAAGCAAGGAAUCAUAGAAAAUCAAGAUGCCAUGAACACAGAACAAUGAAAAGAAGACUUAAAGCUAAAGAUACCUUUUUCUGGUCUGGGCAAGCCAUAGCAUUCAGUUUCAAGCUCAGUGCUGCUAUUUUCCCUCAAUCCACAUAGUUUUCCUGUUGCUUCACAAGUUCCACAAUUGGGAUAGGACCACGACAGACGAAUAUCUUGUGGAACAGGUAGGUCGUACAUCUUGGUACAAGAUAGUAAUAACUCGUUGUCAUCAAUAGAUUGUUCUGAAUCAAUGGCAAGAACGUCAUAGUGGAGAGUACUUAUUAGACAAGCGAUCCUAGACAGAUAUCUUGCUUUAUUUAAAGAACAAUUGAAGGUAGUAAAAUCGACCUUGGAAAUCUUAAACUGUAUGUGAAACACAGACGAAUUGAAGUUGGAGUGUUGGCUUAGAAGGCAAACUUGGGGAUCUCUUGCAUAAAUAACUUGAUUUUUGUAGUCGAUCUUUUCUAUGUGGAGCUUCACUGCAGCUGGCAGCUCGAGCACUAUAUCGCCCAUCUCAUUACAAGACAGAUCAAAACCAGAAUAGCCACACUGUUCUGGCUGCCUAUCCUUGAUCCAGAAUGGAAAUCGGAUGUCGUGGUUCCCACAAGAUCCUGUGCAAUUUAGACUCACUCCAAGUUCUGCAAUGAACAUGAAAUAGAACAAGCAUAUAGCCUUUUUUGUUGAACCUCUCAUCAUUGCCUCCUAUGGUGAUAGAGUUUCGACCUAACAGUAUCUAGAUAUUGCAGAAACAAUAGUAAACUCAGAUGGGAGCAGCAAUGGUAACUCUGAUACCUUCUUUUUAUGACACCUGAAGGGUAACUCUGAUACCUUCGUUUUACUUGCCUAGAUUAAGUACUCAGAAUUGACCUCUCUUGCGUUCAAUGUAGUUCCAUGUCCACAAGGAUUAUUGCACCCUCACUUUCACAAAUUAUUGCCAAGAAGGUUAUCAUGUUAUCUAUUACAUGUUGACGUUUGUGGUGUUGAGAGUUGAUGGAUUUGUGGUUUAUAUCAAAGUAAUCUUUGAUAUUUCAAAGGAUGACUUGGUAAGUUUAAUAUACUGAAGAAACUCGUACAGACUCGCACUACCUUGUACUUAAUUUUUAUCAAAUAAAUAGGAAUGGUGAGAUUCGAAUUAUUGCUAAGAAGUUUAUCAUAUUGUCUAUAUGUUGAUGCUUGUGGUGUUGAGAGUUGAUGGAUUUGUGGUUUAUAUCAAAGUAAUCUUUGACAUUUCAAAGGAUCACUUGGUAAGUUUAAUAGGCUGAAGAAACUCUCGCAUUAGAAAACUAGCUUUAAGGUGUGGUGAGAUAUUUAGAAAUGAUUUAUAUUAUUUUUUAAUAUAUAUGUUAAAUUAAAAGUUUUUUGGAUUUAAAACUUGUACAGACUCGUAUUACCUUAUACUUAAUUUUUAUCAAAUAAAUAAGGAUGAUGAGAUUCAAAUUAUUGCCAAGAAGGUUAUCAUGUUCUCAAUUAUAUGUUGACGCUUGUGGUGUUGAGAGUUGAUGGAUUUGUGGUUUAUAUCAAAGUAUUAUUUGCUUUAUUAUUGUCACUUGGACAUUUUAAAGGAUGAGUUGGUCAUUUUAAUACGCUGAUGAAACAUUCACAAGAAACAAUUUAAUUUAAAAAGUUAAUCUGUUAUAUAAAUUUUUAAUAUAUAAUUUAUAUUAUUUUUUAAUAUGCAUGUGAAAGCUUUUUCAAUUUAAAAUUUAAACAGAUUUACACUAUUUUACGCUUAAUUUUUAUUAAAUAAAUAAAAAUGAUAAGAUUUAAAUUUAUAACCUCUUGAUCAUCAAGAGUUUGAUAUUAUAUUAAAAACUCAACUCAACUAUAAAAUUUAAGCUGUUAGGUUAAGUUUUAAAAUAUAAUUUAUAUUAUUAUUUAAUAUUACUGCUGUAACUGUUGUCUUUUAAAGACUUGAUAUCGUUUAUGGACUACACCCUCUUUCUCCACCCAUGGCUAGGCUCCUCUUUGCUGGCUCCAUAGCCUUACUGCUCCUGCUGCUAGUCUUCCAAAACAGCAACUGCAAGGAUACCAAUCUCUGUGCCCCUUCUUCAUGUGGAAAUCAUACUAUUAGCUACCCCUUUAGCCUAAACAGUGAUCCAUUAAACUGUGGAAACGCUCUCUAUACCCUCCAUUGCGAGAAAAAUACCUCCACAGUUUUGUAUUUAGACUCACGAAAAUACUACGUGCAGGCAAUCAACUACAACAACUUGACAAUCCGAGUGGUGGAUCCUGGUGUUAAAGAAAAUGAUUGCUCUUCUCUUCCUGAUUUUUCUUUAACAUAUGCAAGAUUAGGUAAUUCCAGAAGUGCAAAUACUUUUUCUACUUCAACAAAAGCAGGCUUAGAUUAUAUCAGAUUUCCAUAUACAUGGUUUCAAUACAAAGAGACAAGGCGGAAAUGGAUUCCCGAAUACAAGCCUCUCCCGUUAUCGCAGAUGAUGAUUUUUAUAAACUGUGCAAAUCCAGUGAAUUCUCCUCUGUACGUAGAAACCGGUACUUGCCUUAAUGGAGAAAAAUCUUCCAAUGUUUCACUCUUGAGGCGUUCUUAUGUGAACGUUGGUGGGAUGAAGGCUUCGGAUCUGAUGGAACUGUGCAGCUUAGAGAGGAUGACGUUGUUGCCAGUCAAGGAUUACAAGAACAUGCCCUAUAAGGAAAUCCACAGUCAGCUGGCAUAUGGGUUUGAGCUUUCAUGGCACAAUAGCAGGUGUGGAAGUUGUGCAUAUGGAUGCUACAUCGAUGAUUCGAACCGUAAACACUGCGUAGGUGGGCAAAUUUGAGUAACAAACUGUUCGUUUUUCUAUCUUCAACUUCUCUUUGCAUGAUUUCCCCAUUUCUGAAGCAUAUUGUAGUGCUGAGUAUCGUACGGUCAGCUCAAUCAAGCAAUCAUAGGCUGCAGAUGGUCAUAUCAAUUCGUGGUUUUCUUUUAUUCGACGAUAAAUGAUGUUUUUAUUCCAAUUUCUUUCAUCUUGUAGUAACCUCCGUUAUAUAGUUUCUCAAAUCACAAAUCUAAUCUUUGUAACUGAUCUCUUGGCCCAACAGGAGAUUCUUGGCGCUGGAUAAUCCUAGGUGAGGAUUCUAUCUCCCCACUUCUUCAUGCUUAAUUCUUAAUAAUAUCUCUAAUUAUUUGUUUACCUUCUCUGCAGCCGUGCUGGCGAAUGGAUCCGUGUUCAUUGGUAAGAACUCCCCUUAUUGAUUUUUUUUUUUUUGAAGUUAUGAUAUUGGAUCAUAUUUUAUUAGCUGAUACAAAAUGAUAAUUCCUAAAUGUCUACUCAUGCCAAGUUCUUCCUUAGCAGCACUCUUGGGGUUGCCUAAUGUCUGAGACAUACCUUUGGGUUAAGAGUAUGCUCUUAUGAAACUUGAUUGAACCUGAGUCGUCCAGUUUUGGUCUAGAUUUUAUAUGAUUUUUCAACUCGGAAAAAUAAUCCUAACGCCUAACCUAACACAUGCUGAGUAUUUAUCAAUCUCUGAUAUAUAUUAAUAAGAAAGAAUAACAAUUCCUCUCUAAUUUUUUUUCCUCUCAAAUUUCACACACAGCAAUACUUCAGGGGGCAAAAUUUAUCUUUGGGAGUCCGUUUGUGAUUGCAUUCUUGAUCUAUAAAUGGCGACGACGACAUCUAUCAGCAUAUGACACAAUUGAGGAAUUCCUACAGACUCAUAACAAUCUUAUGCCAGUCGUAAGGUAUUCUUAUUCCGCGAUUAAGAAGAUGACCAGAGGUUUCAAGGAAGAGUUGGGCAAAGGAGGUUUUGGUUGCGUGUACAAGGGAAAGCUUCGCAGUGGACGUUCUGCUGCGAUAAAAUUGCUGGGCAAAUCCAAGGCUAAUGGACAAGAUUUCAUCAAUGAAGUCGCUACCAUUGGAAGGAUUCGCCACACCAAUGUAGUUCAACUAGUUGGUUUUUGUGCUGAGGGAUCAAAGCGCGCUCUUGUAUAUGAUUUCAUGCCCAAUGGAUCUCUCAAUAAUUUCAUUUUUUCUCAAGAAAGAUCUGUCUCUUUAAGCUGGGAAAAACUGCAUGAGAUUUCCCUUGGAGUGGCUCAUGGCAUCCAAUAUCUACAUCGAGGUUGUGAGAUGCAGAUCCUACAUUUUGACAUCAAGCCUCACAACAUUCUUCUCGAUGAACAUUUCACUCCAAAAAUUUCUGACUUUGGACUUGCUAGGUUGUGCCCAGCAAAUGAGAGUCUUAAAUCUCUCACAGUGGCAAGGGGAACGAUAGGUUACAUGGCGCCAGAACUGUUCUACAAGAACAUCGGGCGCUUGUCAUACAAAGCUGAUGUUUAUAGCUUUGGAAUGUUGCUGUUGGAAAUGGCAGGCAGAAGAAAAAAUUUGAAUCCAUUGGCUGAAAGGUUGAGCGAAAUUUACUGGCCAGAUUGGGUUCAUGACCAAGUCUCUAAUGAGAAGGCUAUAGAAAUUGGAGAUGGUAGCACGGAAGAAGAACAAAAGAUAGUCAAGAAGAUGGUUAUUGCAGGGUUGCGGUGUAUACAAAUGAACCCUCUGAAUCGGCCCGCAAUGAACGAAGUUGUGGAGAUGCUUGAAGGAGACAUGGAAAGCCUGCAACUGCCUCCGAGACCAGUUCUAAAUCUAGAUGAGAAGCCAAUGAACACUUGUGGAGAGUCAUCUUCCAUGUCUGAUUAUUCUUCGGAAUCAGUCAGCUUGAUUGAAAAUGUAUAUAAUUAAGUGAUCUGCUAUGAAAUACUCUGCUCAUAUGCAGCAAUGAUACUAGUUCUUUGAUAGUUAUUACCAAUAUGAUAAACUGUAAUCAUCCACCUUAUUUCCUGGUUGUGUAACUAGCUAAGAGAGUCCUCGUUGGUAUUUUAUAAUCUUUAGAAAUAUUAUUUUAUUCAAAAUUAAUAAAAUCAAAUGAUAUACAUAUACAUACUAAGCAUAUUAUUAUAAAAUAGUGGAGUCCAUGUUAGAUAUCAGAUAACACCCGAAAAUGACUAGAUAAAAUCCAAAGGUGAUCAAAUGAAACCCAAAAGUGAUUACUGUAGGAGGAUAAGUCGCUACAUGUUGAUGUCUCUCUUAUCACCUAGAAAUCUUAUUGAUGAUCGUUAGGAAAACAUACAAUGAAUGUACAAAUACUUGAAACUUUAAAUAUCUUAAAAGUAUGUUUUCAAGUGUUAAAAAUUGUUUUUUAUUAAAAAAUAUAUUAAAAUAAUAUUUUUUUUUAUUUUAAAAAAAUUAUUUUUAAUAUUAAUAUUUCAAAACAAUUCAAAACCAUAAUAUUUCAAAAACAACAUAUCUCAGAAGCGUGGCACCACAACCCCGGACACAAGUACUAAAGUAGCACUACUAAAAAAGGGGGCUAUUAGCAUCGGAAUUUAGCAACGGAUAAUUCCGUUGCUAAAUUCAGUAACAGAUUUGCAACGGAUUAAACAUUUAUUAUUUUUUUAAUAUCAGCAACGGAUAUUUGCAACGGAAAAUCCAUUGCAAACUUUACAUUGAAUUUAGCAACGGAAAAUCCGUUGCUAAUUAAAAAAAUAAUUAUUUAAAUUUUAAUAUAAACCCAUUGCCUCGUUUCAUGUGUUGUUUUCUUUGUUAUUUACUCCACCUUUGUUGAGCAGCUCUAUCAUUCGAGAGAGAGAGAGAAAGAGAGAGAGAGAGAGAAAGAGAGAGCAUCAAGCUAUUUUACCAUAACAGGAAGGAGGGUAGGUCUGUAGAAGAUGUAUGGAGAUGGAAAGGAGGCAUCUUAGCAUCUGGGUUUGCUGAUCAGAGAAGGUAAGAAUAAUUAACAAGGAGAAGGGUUCGCUCUCAUUUUCUGUGCUCUCUUUGUCCUUGUUACUUCCCAUCCCAUAAUUUAUUUCCUUUCAAGCUGCUCCUUCCUUUUCCUUUUCAGAUGAGGAAUGGAUGAGAUGCACAAAAUUGCAAAAACCUAUGUACGUUAUGUUGGAUUUCAAAGCUGCUCCUUCCUUUUCCUUUUCAAAGCUGCUCCUGUCACAAGAACAAAACCAACCUUGCCUCUCCUGUCAACAUCCUCUCGAUCUUUCUUCUGUUAUGUUGGAUCUAUGUACGUUGUUUUUCUUCAUCUACUGGAGCAGUGGCUAGCAGCCACUCUAUUCUGGGGUGGAGCUUCAACAGAGGUGGACAAGCUCAAAGUCUUGACGUGUCACAGGUCACCAGCAGAUGGGGUUUGAGAUUUUGGAGCUCGAAGAAAUAAUUUUGAAAAAUGUUGCAGAUAGUAGAAAUUUUGAAAAAUAAUUUUGUACUACCUGCACAAAUACAUUGAUCGAUCUUUCUUGAGUCUUCAGUUUUUGGCGAAUAAACUAAGUCAGCGUUGAGUUAUUGCUGUACAGCUACUACUGGCAUUCCUAGCCUGUGCUGAGCAUGUCAUCAUUGCUGAUUUGCUGUCAUCCAGUAAUCCAGCUCUUUUAUCCGGACAAUCCACACAAAACUAAAUCCGUUGCUAAAAUGAGCAACGGAGAAUCCGUUGCUAGUUUUGCAACGGAAAAUCCGUUGCUCAUUGUAAACAACGGAUUUUCCGUUGCUGUGAAAUUAGCAACGGAUAAAUCCGUUGCUAAACAAUCAGCAACUACAGAUUUGCAUCUGAUUUUUACCGUUGCUGAAUCCGUUGCUAAUUUAUUUUAGCAACGGAUUUUAAUAUUAUUUGCAACGGAAUAGUCCGUUGCUAAUUACUAUAUUUUUUAGUAGUGUAGCAUCAUCAUAAAGUUUGAGAAAUACAAUUUAAAAACUAAUCUUGCAAGCAAAUACAGUUUCAUCCCCAUAUUUUCAAUCAAAUGCAUGCUAAUAUUUUGUUUGUGUAAUAAGCCGCGAAUUACUCGGAAUCCACUGUAGGCAGCAGCUCAUAGAUCACAGCCUUGAAAGCAAUGAUGACCUCAAAAUAUAUAUUUACUCUGUUUCUGAGAUGGCUGCCAGCUCUUGAUGAAGUUGCCUCCUUAGCAUACCUGUAUUCGUUCUCUUCGGAGCUGUGGAGCUAAGAGGAUUAGGAGGCGUACUUAACCUGUCUCCUUCACCUUCCAGCAUCUGGACAACAAUUUUCAUGGAAGGACGGUCCACUGGGUUCCACUGGAUGCACCACAGUCCCACAAUGGCUAGCUUCUUCGCAAUUUUAGCAUCCCCUUCUUCCUCGAUUUGGAACCGCAGGUCUUCUCCUUCUUCUAAGAGAUUAUAAAUCCAUUCUGGGAAGUAUACUUGAUCACCAUUUUCUGCUGUAUCAUCAACAUUUUUCCUUCCACCAACCAUUUCUAACACCAACAUUCCAAAACUGUACACGUCUGCCUUGUAGGAGACAUUCCCAAAGUUUCUUGAGAACACUUCAGGUGCUAUGUAGCCGACGGUUCCCCUAACUCUUGUCAUGGAAACAACACUUUUAUACUUGGAACACAACUUAGCCAGACCGAAAUCUGCAAUCUUGGGAUUGAAGUCAUUGUCCAGCAGGAUAUUAUGCGGUUUGAUAUCAAAGUGGAGGAUUGUUUGGUCACAACCCUGGUGAAGAUAUUCAAUCCCUUUGGCUACUCCGAGGGCAAUAUGAUGCAGCCUUUCCCAGCCAAGGAAAACAUUCCUUGCGUUUGCUGAAGAUAUGAACUUCUGCAGCGAAUCGUUUGGCAAGUACUCGUAAACCAGAGCUCGUCUGAAUCCAUCAGCACAGAAGCCAAUCAAGCGGACUACAUUGACAUGGUGAAUCCUAGCCAUUGUUCCCAUCUCGUUGACGAAUUCCUCUCCUUUUUCUGAUGAAUUGCUUAGAACCUUAACAGCCACCGGAAUCUCACUGGUUAGCUUUCCUUUGAACACAGUUCCAUAAGCUCCUUGCCCCAAUUCAUCCCUGAAUUGAUUUGUCAUCUUUUUGAGAUCAGCAUGGGAGUAUCUUGUGGGGUUCAUAGCUCUGUAAUCAUCCAAAACUCUUUCAACCUUGCCCUGAUAUUCUUUUUCUGAUUUUCUGAAGCUAUAGAUUUGGUAGACUGCAAUCACCAAAACCCCGAAAAGGAUGGAUCCUGUGGUUAC
rnacentral:lncRNA from 1 species